GAUGAAGAACGUAGCGAAAUGCGAUAAGUAAUGUGAAUUGCAGAAUUCAGUGAAUCAUCGAAUCUUUGAACGCAUCUUGCGCUCCUUGGUAUUCUGAGGAGCAUGCCUGUUUGAGUGUCAUUAAAUUCUCAACUACACUGACUUUGAAUUGGUGUGGCUUGGAUUUGGGGGGAAAAUUGUUGUGGGCUUUUUGUAUAGUCUGCUCCCCUGAAAUUGAUUAGCGGUACCUUUGUGGAACUGUCUACAGGUGUGAUAAUUAUCUACAUCUUAGACAUCUGCUGGUAUGCUGCUUUCUAAACCUUACUUGUAUUGACAAUCUUGACCUCAAAUCAGGUAGGACUACCCGCUGAACUUAAGCAUAUCAAUAAGCGGAGGA
rnacentral:misc_RNA from 1 species